rnacentral:rRNA from 1 species
CCUACGGGUGGCAGCAGUGAGGAAUAUUGGUCAAUGGCCGAGAGGCUGAACCAGCCAAGUCGCGUGAGGGAAGACGGCCCUACGGGUUGUAAACCUCUUUUGUCGGGGAGCAAAUAGAGUCACGUGUGACUCAUUGAGAGUACCCUAAGAAAAAGCAUCGGCUAACCCCGUGCCAGCAGCCGCGGUAAUACGGAGGAUGCGAGCGUUAUCCGGAUUUAUUGGGUUUAAAGGGUGCGCAGGCGGAGGUGGAAGUCAGCGGUAAAAUUGCGGGGCUCAACCCCGUACUGCCGUUGAAACUGCAUCCCUUGAGUGCGCGAGAGGUAUGCGGAAUGCGGGGUGUAGCGGUGAAAUGCAUAGAUAUCACGAAGAACUCCGAUGGCGAAGGCAGCAUACCGGCGCGCAACUGACGCUCAUGCACGAAAGCGUGGGUAUCGAACAGGAUUAGAUACCCGAGUAGUC